GACCUCCGUUAUCGGUGGCGCCUCUUUCGGAGAAAUAAAAACUUACUGAAAUUCAAACUUUACGUUCACGGAUUUACGCCAUUUUGUUCGUAGUCACGCAUGGUUUUGCAGCAUCAGCCGACCUAAGCCGACCUUAUAAAUAUCGGAAUCUUCUUGCUAUCUUGUCUAUUCACCGUGGAUUUGCACUUGAAUUGAAAUAAGAGACGGAUUUUUUUCGAGAACUCUUGCUGUUAAUGACGUCAUUGCGGAAUCGUAAGCGGAAUCAUGGUAGCAAUCACGGCAAUUUUGCAGCGACGAUUGAAUUCUAGAAUCUCAAUGGCACGAUGUAAACGUCAGUCGCAUAUGUGUGUGAAAUAUGAAAUUGGUCAUGGAUUCGGAUCGAAACUCGAGGAUGCUUGCCGCAAUCACCGGCUGCCGAAGAUGAAUCCUGAUUUUUCUGACACGCGGCGAAUGCUAUGAUAGAUCCAGUUGCAAACGAUGAACUUCGGCAUUAUGGAUCGUCAUAUUUUUUUUUAUCUAAUUCCUGUCGUUAUAUAAUAAAAUACGUGUCGCGAAUGCGUCGGGAGUGCCGUCAUAGUUUCGCGCGAGUUUAAAACAGUGAGUUUUAACAAAUCGUAUGGACGAACGCACUUCCAACGAAUAUAGUAAUAAAUUUUGGAACACGAUAGCAUUUUUUUUUUACUUUCGACUCGAAGAGGACAAAGUUUCGAUGAUUAUCUUAGAAUCAUUAUCUUAGGACUGUCACAAAUGGGCUCUUUUCAGCUGUUUAUUACACGUCUAUCAGUCAUAGUUCACUCCAAAGCGGAUAAGUCGGGUUACCUUAAAGCACGAGGAAAAAUCGGACUCAGUCAGAUAAGUUGUUUUUUUUUGUUGAUAUCCGAGACAUUAGGGACGGAUAAUCUAGACAAAUAUCUUCUCUCUCGUCAGACGUUCACUGGCCGCAUGAUUUUUUUUAAUCUUACAGUUUAGUCAACAGUAACGUGACUGUUCAGACCGAUGUUAACAUUAGUUACGCAGGUUUUUCUUAUUGCUGUGCCGAGGAACCUUAUUCGUGUCGACCCUGCGGGUCCUAUUUCAGAUCCUACGGAUCCGUUUUCUUCGGGCUUACCUUUUUACUCUCUGUUUUGUGACAGCGGUAUCCCAAUUUGGCAAGUGCGAUCGUCCGAACGAAAUUUGCGAGUAACGUCGCAUCAUAAAUUAUUCAGCUCGCGAUAUUGGAUAUCGGUGGUGUCGUUUAAAGCGCCACGUGUAAUCGUAUUGUGUUAAUUAUGUCUUCGCUAAAAGUUUAUGUGUGUGUGUGCCAUGAAGAAGCGGAAUUACUGAGGAGCGGAAACGGCUGGGUGGCCAUCAGGCGACAGCGCAGCAACAUUGCGGUCCAGCUGGACGAGUGCUCGAUUAGCGGUACAACGAUUGG